UCCAACUUAUCGCUGGCGGUCUCCUGAGAGUGCUUCCUUACGGAGUGGCAACACAGGACAAGGGUUGCGCUCGUUGCGGGACUUAACCCAACAUCUCACGACACGAGCUGACGACAGCCAUGCAGCACCUCGACUAGACCCCCUUGCGGAGUAACCGUGUUUCCACGGCGGUCAUCCACAUGUCAAGCCCAGGUAAGGUUCUUCGCGUUGCGUCGAAUUAAACCACAUGCUCCGCUGCUUGUGCGGGUCCCCGUCAAUUCCUUUGAGUUUUAGCCUUGCGGCCGUACUCCCCAGGCGGGGCACUUAAUGCGUUAGCUUCGGCACGGGAGGAGUCGACACCUCCCACACCUAGUGCCCAUCGUUUACGGCGUGGACUAC
rnacentral:misc_RNA from 1 species